rnacentral:lncRNA from 1 species
CACAGUGGUGUAACAGCAAAACAUAAUGCUAAUUUCUUGCGUUUACGUUUCAUUCCCCGUGUAAAUUUCAAGAAAUCUGUUUGAAAAAAAAACUUACAGAGUCCGAAUUAUAAUAUUCUCAAAACAAUUGGCUGUGCAUCUUAACAAUUUCUUGUCUAUUGUUGAAGACUGAAUAAAGAUUCUAGAUUUCGCUUGGUUUUCUUUGUCGUUGGGUUGCUUACUAAUUGCCAUACAUUCACAUGCAUGUAAUUUAUUAUUAUGAAUAGGAAUCACACACUAUAAUGUGGAUCAAUUGUAUUAACUUUUUAUCAAGAUAAACAUUAAUGUAGAUAUAGGAAGAUGAGGUAUCAGUGACAACGAGACAACUCUCCAUCCAAAUAACAAUUUAUAAAAGUAAACCAUUAUGGUUCAAGGUUACGCCUUCAUCAAGGGAGCAUGUAUGUUCUCAGGUAACAGUUUGAAGAAAUGUAUAUGGAAAGUAUGUAUAAAUGUUUGAAAACUUAGUUGUCAUAAGAACCCUACAAAACAUGUAUACGUAUAAGUGUAAAUCAAGUCCAGUAAUUUAUUAUUUAUUAAUAUUGAACAUGAAUUAAAGACGACUACAAUCAAUCGGACGACGUUUUGGCAAUACAUUACGUCUGAUUAGAGUAUAAAAAUAUUGGACGUCGAUUUGAGAAUGUGACGUCAGAUUUGGACGUCGAUUUAAGGAACGGACGUCGAUUUGAGGAAUGGACGUCGAUUAGAGGCCGGACGUCGAUC